CCGACCUUAGCUCAGCUGGAAGAGCGCGAGACUGUAAUGGAUAACUGGUGAUUACAUAAUCAUAUCUUGAGGUCGCCUGUUCGAGCCAGGCAGGUCGGA